UACGUAGGGUGCAGGCGUUAAUCGGAAUUACUGGGCGUAAAGCGUGCGCAGGCGGUUUGCUAAGUCAGACGUGAAAUCCCUCGGCUUAACCGGGGAACUGCGUCUGAUACUGGAUGGCUUGAGGUUGGGAGAGGGAUGCGGAAUUCCAGGUGUAGCGGUGAAAUGCGUAGAUAUCUGGAGGAACACCGGUGGCGAAGGCGGCAUCCUGGACCAAU
rnacentral:rRNA from 1 species